AACGUAGCAGCUUGAAUAUCACGGUUGAUAUUUAAGCCUGUGAUGUGGGUGUCCUUUUUAUUUGCGCCAGCGAUAAGCCCGGGGCAGGUGUCGAGCAACCGUUAAUCCCGGGAUCUCCGAAUGGGGCAACCCGGCGGAACUGGGCAACCAGAUUCCGUCAUCGGCGGCUGAAUGCAUAGGCCGUCCGAGGCGAACGCAGGGAACUGAAACAUCUUAGUACCUGCAGGAAAGGAAAUCAACCGAGACUCCGUAAGUAGCGGCGAGCGAAAGCGGACUAGCCCAAACCUCCUAUGCUUUCUUGCGAAAGCAAGAAUAGGAGGGGUUGUGGACGCCGAUAAGGAAGCCCAUUUUGCAGUUUACUGCAAAUGGGUAACCAUGCAGUUACAAAGGCAUCGUUAGCAGAACGGGCUGGAAAGCCCGGCCAUAGAAGGUGAUAGCCCUGUAUGCGAAAACGAGAGCCCUGCAUAUUGUCGGCGAUCCAGAGUA
rnacentral:rRNA from 1 species